CCGAGUAUUUCUUCGAUAGGGCUUUAGCCAUCUUCGCUAGCAAGGGUUUCAGGUGUGUAUCAAAGAUGUCGAGAGUCUAUGUUGGAAAUCUGGACCCUAGGGUCAGCGAAAGAGAGCUUGAAGAUGAAUUCCGUAUCUUUGGAGUUAUAAGAAGGAAUUUACAAGAAGAUAGAAAUAUGCCUUCAUGUCUAGCUUCUAGCCAUGCUGAGAAGCUACUAGAGGAAAUCGAGCGCAGACUUUUCUAGUUUUGCAAUGAAAUUCUAAAUUUUAUUCUAGUCUUGGUUUGAAGAGGGACUUUUGUUCUGUAUUGUAUUCCAUUUGCCCUCCCAUCCUGGUGUUGGCUUCGAUUCCCGUGAUCAAGCGAGCAAGCAAGUCAGAAAUUCUUUUCGUUGAGAUAAGAACAAAACAGGUUUGGUUCAAAGAAUUUCUACGCCAAGGUUAAUUUUUUAAUGAGCCCUAAGUCUCGCAUGAAGAAUUCUUUUGCAGCUUUAUGAUGAGAUCUUGAAUGAGAAAAUUGGACGAAACAAAAAGUGGAAGAAAUGGUUUUUGAUUAGCAAGUUGGUCGGAAAGAAAGACAAGCUGAAUUCUUUCCGUGCUGUUAUUCUUUGCAUAAAGAACGAACAUGUCACAAAUAUUGUGCUUGAGCACAUUGUGGUGAACGUUUCGGAAAAGAAAAAGGAACUAUUCUGGAGUGACCCAUUGAAAAAGAUUUUUUUUUGAAGCAACCAGAAGAAGAUGAAUGUAUAUUGACAUUAUAAAUUAAUUGUGUUUGGGUUGCAAGACGUCCUCCUGGCUACGCUUUUAUUGACUUUGAUGACAAACGAGAUGCGCAAGAUGCAAUCAGAGAGCUGGAUGGUAAGAAUGGAUGGAGGGUGGAGCUUUCACAUAAUUCUCGAGAAGGUCGUGGGGGCCGUGGAGGCGGUCGUGGUCGCUCUGGAGGCUCUGAUUUGAAGUGCUACGAGUGUGGCGAGCCCGGUCAUUUUGCUCGUGAGUGCAGAUUGAGUGGAGCUCCUGGAAGACGUAGAAGUCGGAGCCCUCCUAGAUAUCGAAGGAGCCCAAGUUAUGGUCGUAGGAGUUAUAGUCCUCAUGGGCGUUCCCCCCAGCGCCGAAGCUUGUCACCGCGCGGUCGCAGCUAUAGCCGAUCUCCAUAUCGCGGCCAAGAUAAAGUUCCAUAUGCUAAUGGAAAUGGGCUCAGAGAGCGCCGCAGAAGCCGAAGCUGAAUGGGAGAGAUGAUUGCCUGUCUUGUCCAGGAGUUUUCGAUUAGUGUGUUACUGUCCUUGACUUAAUCACAGCUGUGUAAGUGGGGCCACACCCUCUGCUUAAACUGGUAGCUUUUGCUAAAUUUCAGUUAUUGCUUUGACAUGAUACGUGUUCUUUUUUUCUUCCUAAUGUUACCCUUUUAAAGAAGCUAUAUCAUAGGGAUAUAUUUUGGAUUUUAUGUUAGCUGUUAUCUUUAUGGAGAAAAUAUCACAAAGAAUGUUGCUAAAGAGUUGUGUUUUUGUUUUCU